rnacentral:rRNA from 1 species
UACGUAGGGUGCGAGCGUUGUCCGGAAUUAUUGGGCGUAAAGGGCUCGUAGGCGGUUUGUCGCGUUCGGGAGUGAAAAUCCAGGGCUUAACUCUGGACUGGCUUUCGAUACGGGCAGACUAGAGGUAUGCAGGGGAGAACGGAAUUCCUGGGUGUAGCGGUGAAAUGCGCAGAUAUCAGGAGGAACACCGGUGGCGAAGGCGGUUCUCUGGGCAUUGACCUGACGCUGAGGAGCGAAAGCGUGGGGAGCGAACAGG